AUGCCCACCGAAAUAAUAUCAUGCUCCUUGUAUGGCGAUCUCAUCUACCACUGCGACGGAUAUCGUCACACCAUCGAUGUGUUCAUGGGCACCAGAUCGUGGGAUUCAAUGAGCAGCUCCUUCUCUCGGAUGGCUUUGGGAGCAUAUAAGAUCUGCAGCUGGCCCCUCGGCUUGGUCGGGAGGAGAUUUUUAACACCUGCGAUCCAGGACAGGAGUGAGCACCAGGAUGAGGAAGGAUGGCUGGAAAGAUGGAGGCUGGUGAUUUGUGGUGACAUGCUUCUCAUGCACAAUGCUUUGGCUCUACUGCCUCAACAUCUCCCACAAGUGACGCCGGAGCUCCUCGGCGCUGCGGCCAACCUCCGGAUGGCCAUUGAGGUACCGGCGGCACGCCGGCACGAUGUUCUCCGACACGGCCAUCCGGAGGUCGGCCCUGAGCACCCAUGGCCCCUGCUGGCGCCCCUAUCUCCGCAACUGAGAGCGUUCAGGGCUCCGGGCUUCACGUCAAGGCGCGACACCACGGGCACCCAUGAAACUCGCAGGACUUCUUCCUUCCCUUCUAAGCAACAGAUCCCCAUCUUCCUCCUUCCUCCCUUCGCUACCCAGAUCCACCGCGAGCAGGGCACGUUACAUCUGGUAUCAGAGGUCCAGCCCAUCGAUCUGGAGACCGCAUACCCCAAGCCCCGCUACCACACCAAACAAGCACUCAAGACGGAGGCGAUGGAGGAGCAACUCGCCGCGCUCAUCAAGUUGGUCAACGACGGCAGAGUGGCCAGCGAGGCCGGAUUCGACGCGAUCCAGACGUCGUUGGAACUCUGGAGGCCGGCGGUGUCCCAUCUCCAGCAGCAAGUGGAUGAGCUGCGUACCCAAGUGGGGCGCAUCGCCCUUCACCCGACCCUAGCGGCGCCUUCGGAUCCGAUCCCGGAGGGCAACGCGGUGGUGCGAUCGGCGGCGACGGCAGCUACGAGAGCGUCCCCGACCACCACGGGCCACGAGGUCGUGGCGAGAUCGACGACACCGGGGGUCAGACAUAUGGCGUGGUCACCACCCAUGUGCUGCCUCCGGUCAAGGUAUUUUUCAGUCUAUGGUGUUCACUCAGAUCUAUGGGUGCGUGUGGCUACCCUUCACUUCACCGGCAACGCGUCACGUUGGUUGCAAUUGCAUGAGUCACAGAGUGAAUCAAUGUCGUGGGAGGAAUUGUAUGCGGCACUAUGCGGCAAAUUUGCCCGGGAGCAGUAUCAAGCUCACUUGAAUCAGUUCCGCGCACUGCGUCAGACAGGCACUGUGCACAAUUACAUGCUGCAAUUCGAGGAACUCAUGCACCAGUUACUUGCACAUAAUCCUUCAUUUGAUCCUGUGUUCUUCACUACCCAAUUUUUGGAAGGAUUGAGACAUGAAAUUCGGGCUAGUGUAGUUCUUCACCAACCAAAGGACUUGGACUCUGCUUUUUCCUUGGCUUCGAUGCAGGAGGAGCUACUGGAGGCGUUGCCGAGGCGGGAGUACCGUCGGCAGGAGGGGCCAGUGCAGCGUGGAGGCGCUCGGCCGCUGAUAGCGCUCAGAGCACCACCAGCUCGCCUUGCAGUGCCGGGAGCGCCGGUUGCGGCUGAAGACAGACGCGGCGUCGACGCGGCCAAUCCACCAGACCGUCCGCGGGCAGAUUCUGGCAGUUCUCAUAGUUUUGUGAGUGAAGCAGUGGCCGCUGCAAUGCCUCGUCGGGUGCAGAAGACCAAUUGUUCGUCUGUUAAGAUUGCUGAUGGAGGAAUUCUUCAAUGUGACAGUAUGAUCCCUCGGUGCUCAUGGACAACGCAAGGGCAAGUGUUUGAAACUGACCUCCGGGUGCUAUCGUUGGGCUGUUAUGAUGUUGUUGCGGGCAUGGACUGGCUACAGCGCUGUGGACCUAUGUGGAUCGACUGGGAGCAGAAGCGGUUGCAGUUUUAG
rnacentral:rRNA from 1 species